rnacentral:rRNA from 1 species
GAUGAUCGCUAGCGGCAGGCCUAACACAUGCAAGUCGAGGGAGAGGUUAUCUUCGGGUAACCAAAACCGGCGCACGGGUGCGUAACGCGUAUACAAUCUGCCUUUCACAUAGGGAUAGCCCGAAGAAAUUUGGAUUAAUACCUAAUGGUAUAUAAGAGCGGCAUCGUUUUUAUAUUAAAGCUACGGUGGUGAAAGAUGAGUAUGCGUUCUAUUAGCUAGUUGGAGAGGUAACGGCUCCCCAAGGCGACGAUAGAUAGGGGUUCUGAGAGGGAUGUCCCCCACACUGGUACUGAGAUACGGACCAGACUCCUACGGGAGGCAGCAGUGAGGAAUAUUGGACAAUGGUCGGAAGACUGAUCCAGCCAUGCCGCGUGCAGGAUGAAGGUCCUAUGGAUUGUAAACUGCUUUUGUAAGGGAAGAAUAAGGAGUACGUGUACUUUGAUGACGGUACCUUACGAAUAAGCAUCGGCUAACUCCGUGCCAGCAGCCGCGGUAAUACGGAGGAUGCGAGCGUUAUCCGGAAUCAUUGGGUUUAAAGGGUCCGUAGGCGGGCUGAUAAGUCAGAGGUGAAAGCGCUUAGCUCAACUAAGCAACUGCCUUUGAAACUGUCAGUCUUGAAUGAUUGUGAAGUAGUUGGAAUGUGUAGUGUAGCGGUGAAAUGCUUAGAUAUUACACAGAACACCGAUAGCGAAGGCAUAUUACUAACAAUUUAUUGACGCUGAUGGACGAAAGCGUGGGGAGCGAACAGG